GACGUAGGGGGCCAGCGUUGCUCGGAAUUACUGGGUGUAAAGGGUUCGUAGGCGGUGUGGCAAGUCGGGAGUGAAAUCUCUGGGCUCAACUCAGAGACUGCUUCCGAAACUGCUGUGCUUGAGUGUGGGAGAGGCGCGUGGAAUUGCAGGUGUAGCGGUGAAAUGCGUAGAUAUCUGCAGGAACACCCGUGGCGAAAGCGGCGCGCUGGACCACUACUGACGCUGAGGAACGAAAGCUAGGGGAGCAAACAGG
rnacentral:rRNA from 1 species